GGAAUUUCUAAUUUUUUUAAUAAUGGGCCACAAAUUUUCUAAAAGCAAGAUCUUUCAUUUUAAAUGUCAAAGAAAAAGGGGAAUUUUAUCAAUUCUGGCAGACAAACCAUCAAUAGUCAGUUCUUUAUGGUGAUCACUUCUCUGCUUUUUUGAAAGAAAACCUAAUCCCUUUUUGAUCUUUAACUCCUCUUUGUAAGAGUUCAAUAUGCCAUGAUGGUUAGUUUGAUUUUCU
rnacentral:lncRNA from 1 species